rnacentral:rRNA from 1 species
GAAAGCCCAUCGCUCAACGGUGGAACGGCCAUUGAUACUGUUAAACUUGAAUUAUUAGGAAGUAACUAGAAUAUGUAGUGUAGCGGUGAAAUGCUUAGAGAUUACAUGGAAUMCCAAUUGCGAAGGCAGGUUACUACUAAUGGAUUGACGCUGAUGGACGAAAGCGUGGGUAGCGAACAGGAUUAGAUACCCUGGUAGUCCACGCCGUAAACGAUGGAUACUAGCUGUUGGAAGCAAUUUCAGUGGCUAAGCGAAAGUGAUAAGUAUCCCACCUGGGGAGUACGUUCGCAAGAAUGAAACUCAAAGGAAUUGACGGGGGCCCGCACAAGCGGUGGAGCAUGUGGUUUAAUUCGAUGAUACGCGNGGAACCUUACCAAGGCUUAAAUGUAGUUUGACCGAUUUGGAAACAGAUCUUUCGCAAGACAAAUUACAAGGUGCUGCAUGGUUGUCGUCAGCUCGUGC